GCUUAUUACCAUUCCAGAUUGAAUAUACCCGAUCUCGUCUGAUCUCGGAAGUUAAGCAAUCUCGGGCUUGGUUAGUACUUGGAUGGGUGACCGCUUGGGAAUACCAAGUGUGAUAAGCA
rfam:Ciona savignyi cont_43480, whole genome shotgun sequence.